rnacentral:rRNA from 1 species
ACUCCUACGGGAGGCAGCAGUGGGGAAUAUUGCACAAUGGGCGCAAGCCUGAUGCAGCCAUGCCGCGUGUAUGAAGAAGGCCUUCGGGUUGUAAAGUACUUUCAGCAGUGAGGAAGGUGGGUAUGUUAAUAGCAUACUCAUUUGACGUUAGCUGCAGAAGAAGCACCGGCUAACUCCGUGCCAGCAGCCGCGGUAAUACGGAGGGUGCGAGCGUUAAUCGGAAUUACUGGGCGUAAAGCGCAUGCAGGUGGUUUGUUAAGUCAGAUGUGAAAGCCCGGGGCUCAACCUCGGAAUUGCAUUUGAAACUGGCAAACUAGAGUACUGUAGAGGGGGGUAGAAUUUCAGGUGUAGCGGUGAAAUGCGUAGAGAUCUGAAGGAAUACCGGUGGCGAAGGCGGCCCCCUGGACAGAUACUGACACUCAGAUGCGAAAGCGUGGGGAGCAAACAGGAUUAGAUACCCUGGUAGGCGUAGUAAGUCGUAGGGACAAGGCACACAGGGGGGAUA